AGUACAAAGUGACGAUAAGACCCUAUAAAGCUUUAUAGUGUAAUUUUUUAUUAUAAAUUAUAAAAUUGUAUAACUUAAUUUAAAGUAAAACUCUUUUGUUGGGGCGACAGAAAUAUAAUAAAGUAACUGUUUUUGUUUAAGUAAAACAAAUGUGUUUGGUUUUAAUAAAUGAUCCUUUAUUAAAGAUUAAAAGAUUAAGUUACUUUAGGGAUAACAGCGUAAUCUUCUUUGAGAGUUCAUAUCGACAAGAAGGGUUGCGACCUCGAUGUUGAAUUAAGGUUCCUGCGUGGUGUAGCAGUUACGGUUAGGAGGUCUGUUCGACCUUUAAAUCCUUACAUGAUUUGAGUUCAGACCGGC
rnacentral:rRNA from 1 species